UCAUACUGAUUAUGCCAAAACAAUGGCCGUAGCCGCUUUCAGUCCUCUCUUUGCUUGUAUCUAAAGAAUAUAACCUUGUGUGCGCAAAAAUGUCAUUUGGAAAUUAAUAAGAAAAAUAAUAUAAAAUAAUAUAAGAAAAAAGGUAAACUUCUCUUGUAUUUUUUUUUAACUAAGAGAAAAUAACGAAGUAACAAUAAUCAAUGGGACGAAGUCGUACUCCAUCUCCAGGAAGACGAAGGGAUCGAUCUCGAGAACGAGAACGCGAUAGAGAUCGACGAAGAAGGCGAUCACGAGAAAGAAGACGAAGAUCUGUAGAACGAGACAGAGUAAAAUCUAGAGACAGGGACAGAGAUCGAGAACGUGAGCGAGAUAGACAUAGAAGAUCAUACAGUAGAUCCAGAUCACGAGAACGUGACAGAUCACGUGAUAGAUCAAAACAUAGAUCAAAGCCGAAACCUUCAACAAAUGAACGACCCAUUAUCACAGAGGCAGACUUGCAAGGUAAGACACCUGAGGAACAAGAGAUGAUGAGAAUAAUGGGAUUCUGUGAUUUUGAUACUACCAAAGGCAAGAAAGUUGAUGGGAAUGAUGUCGGUGCAGUUCAUGUCAUCUUGAAAAGAAAAUACAGACAGUAUAUGAAUAGAAAGGGUGGAUUCAACAGGCCUUUGGACUUUGUCGCAUAAAUUGUCUCUAGUACAAUUUCAAAUAUCUCCUGUUGUCAAAUAGGAUGACAUUAUACAGAUAUAAAUAUACGAUUCAUAUUAUCAACUGUACAUGUAUGAAGAGGAAACUUUGUUAUAUAAUAUAGAAUGUAGAUUAAUUUUGUAUCGAAACAAUUAAAAGUAAUUUAUAAUCUUAAAAUAUAAAAGCACUUAUGAUUUUAAGAUUCUGA